rnacentral:rRNA from 1 species
UACGUAGGGUGCGAGCGUUGUCCGGAAUUAUUGGGCGUAAAGAGCUUGUAGGCGGUCUGUCGCGUCUGCUGUGAAAAUCCGGGGCUCGACCCCGGACUUGCAGUGGGUACGGGCAGACUAGAGUGUGGUAGGGGAGACUGGAAUUCCUGGUGUAGCGGUGAAAUGCGCAGAUAUCAGGAGGAACACCGAUGGCGAAGGCAGGUCUCUGGGCCACUACUGACGCUGAGAAGCGAAAGCAUGGGGAGCGAACAGG